AGUGUCGCAGCGAAAGCGAUAAACACACCGCCUGGGGAGUACGGCCGCAAGGUUAAAACUCAAAUGAAUUGACGGGGGCCCGCACAAGUAGUGGAGCAUGUGGUUUAAUUCGAAGAUACGCGCAGAACCUUACCAACACUUGACAUGUUCGUCGCGACUCUAAGAGAUUAGAGUUUUCGGUUCGGCCGGACGAAACACAGGUGCUGCAUGGCUGUCGUCAGCUCGUGUCGUGAGAUGUUGGGUUAAGUCCCGCAACGAGCGCAACCCUCACUUUUAGUUGCCAUCAUUAAGUUGGGCACUCUGAAAGAACUGCCAGUGAUAAGCUGGAGGAAGGUGGGGAUGACGUCAAGUCCUCAUGGCCCUUACGUGUUGGGCUACACACGUGCUACAAUGGCAUCUACAACAGGAAGCAAAACGGCAACGUUAAGCAAAUCCCGAAAAGAUGCCUCAGUUCGGAUUGCACUCUGCAACUCGAGUGCAUGAAGCUGGAAUUACUAGUAAUCGUGGAUCAGCGUGCCACGGUGAAUGCGUUCCCGGGUCUUGUACACACCGCCCGUCACACCAUGGGAGUUGGUUCUACCUUAAGGCAAGGCUUUAAACCCUUGACCACGGUAUAGUCAGCGACUGGGGUGAAGUCGUAACAAGGUACC
rnacentral:rRNA from 1 species